ensembl:lncRNA
AGCGCCUGCUCAGUGUUUCAGGAAUGGCAGAGUGAACUGUCUCACUCUCUCUCCCUCUCUCUCCCUCUCUCUCUCCCUCUCUCUCUCCCCCUCUCCGCCGGAUGUUUGCGGGGUUUUGCGGGUCUGCUCGCAGUGGGUUGUGCGCUGUAGUCGGGUGGAGGAUGUGGAGAUGUGGGGAUGUGGAGCUGUGUGUUUUGGGGGAAACAGAUGGCUUCUUUGCGCUGUGUUUUUCUCCUCGACUCGCGCUGAGCUGCUGACCUGCUAAAACUUGCCCCUUUUUUCUUUUUCUGGAUUUACUCUGGAUUUGUCUGGAUUUCUCCCGAAGUCGGAUAUUUUCCCCCCAGAUCCUUCCUGCGUGUUCCCCUCCAGAGGCUCGCGAGGAGCUCCACGCCGGAAGCGCCGCGUCUCGAGCUCUCAGGAUGAAGAUGAAGAAGAGGAGGACAUCAUUGACGGCUUCGCCAUCGCCAGCUUCUCCAGCCUGGAGGGUCUGCAGGACCCUGCAGAGUUCUUCUGUUCGUCCCUCUAGAACCCAACACCAGAACAUGUUCAGUUGUUUCCAGAGAAAAAUGUUCCAGGUCGUGUCUGAGUAACCAUCUAAAGAACUUUAUUCCACUGAGAGAUGUAUUACACACGAGC